rnacentral:rRNA from 1 species
GAUGAACGCUGACAGAAUGCUUAACACAUGCAAGUCUACUUGAACUUCGGUUUGGGUGGCGGACGGGUGAGUAACGCGUAAAGAACUUGCCUCACAGUUAGGGACAACAUUUGGAAACGAAUGCUAAUACCUGAUAUUAUGUUUUUAGGGCAUCCUAAAAUUAUGAAAGCUAUAUGCGCUGUGAGAGAGCUUUGCGUCCCAUUAGCUAGUUGGAGAGGUAACGGCUCACCAAGGCGAUGAUGGGUAGCCGGCCUGAGAGGGUGAACGGCCACAAGGGGACUGAGACACGGCCCUUACUCCUACGGGAGGCAGCAGUGGGGAAUAUUGGACAAUGGACCAAAAGUCUGAUCCAGCAAUUCUGUGUGCACGAUGACGUUUUUCGGAAUGUAAAGUGCUUUCAGUUGGGAAGAAAAAAAUGACGGUACCAACAGAAGAAGUGACGGCUAAAUACGUG